rnacentral:rRNA from 1 species
AUUGAACGCUGGCGGCAGGCCUAACACAUGCACGUCGAACGAGUGGCGGACGGGUGAGUAAUGUCUGGGAAACUGCCUGAUGGAUGGGGAUAACUACUGGACACGGUAGCUACUACCGCAUACCAUCAGAUGUGCCCAGAUGGGAUUAGCUAGUUGGUGGGGUAACGGCGUGCCAAGGCGACGGUCCCUAGCUGUUCUGAGAGGCGGACCAGCCACACUGGAACUGCGACACGGUCCAGACGCCGACGGGAGGCAGCAGUGGGGAAUAUUGAACAAUGGGCGCAAGCCUGAUGCAGCCAUGCCGCGUGUAUGAAGAAGGCCUUCGGGUUGUAAAGUACUUUCAGCGGGGAGUCGUUACCCGCAGAAGAGGAACCGGCUAACUCCGUGCCAGCAGCCGCGGUAAUUC